CAACACCAUGAAAGGAGAGAAAGUUAGCACACCCCUUGACAAGGAUAUACUAAUCCAUCAAGAGGUCCUACUGACUGAUAAAACACACCAUCUACUUUGUGGCAUUACUAAUCAUGUUU